UGGGAAUAUUGGACAAUGGGCGCAAGCCUGAUCCAGCAAUGCCGCGUGUGUGAAGAAGGCCUUCGGGUUGUAAAGCACUUUUAUCAGGAGCGAAACGCUGUCGGCUAAUACCCGGCGGAACUGACGGUACCUGAGGAAUAAGCACCGGCUAACUUCGUGCCAGCAGCCGCGGUAAUACGAAGGGUGCAAGCGUUAAUCGGAAUUACUGGGCGUAAAGCGUGCGUAGGCGGUUUCUUAAGUCUGCUGUGAAAUCCCCGGGCUCAACCUGGGAAUGGCAGUGGAUACUGGGAGGCUAGAGUGUGUCAGAGGGUGGUGGAAUUCCCGGUGUAGCGGUGAAAUGCGUAGAGAUCGGGAGGAACAUCAGUGGCGAAGGCGGCCACCUGGGACAACACUGACGCUGAGGCACGAAAGCGUGGGGAGCAAACAGGAUUAGAUACCCUGGUAGUCCACGCCCUAAAACGAUGCGAACUGGAUGUUGGUCUCAACUCGGAGAUCAGUGUCGAAGCUAACGCGUUAAGUUCGCCGCCUGGGGAGUACGGUCGCAAGACUGAAACUCAAAUGAAUUGACGGGGUCAUAGCUGUUUCCUG
rnacentral:rRNA from 1 species